UACGUAGGGUGCAAGCGUUGUCCGGAAUUAUUGGGCGUAAAGAGCUCGUAGGCGGCUUGUCGCGUCGUUCGUGAAAACCCACAGCUCAACUGUGGGCUUGCGGUCGAUACGGGCAGGCUGGAGUUCGGUAGGGGAGACUGGAAUUCCUGGUGUAGCGGUGAAAUGACGCAGAUAUCAGGAGGAACACCGGUGGCGAAGGCGGAUCUCUGGGCCAUUACUGACGCUGAGGAGCGAAAGCGUGGGGAGCGAACAGG
rnacentral:rRNA from 1 species